ACUUUCUAACAUGUCAUAGUUGCUCAUUCUUUGUGAUAACUUCAACGUAACAAUCAGGGAAAAAAAAAAUUAUUGUGACUGUGGAUGCUAGCGUUUUAGUUUGAAUCAUCUAUGAUUAUAUAUCUAAACUAUUUUCCAAAUUGUGAUUGUGUAGGUUGCUGAUUUUGGGCUGUCAAAGGAAGUGAUCUUUGAUGGCCGGAAUUCAGGCCUUAAAGGUACAUACGGCUACAUGGACCCAGCAUACAUUUCCACAAACAAGUUCACAAUGAAGAGUGACAUCUACAGUUUUGGUAUAAUCAUUUUUGAGCUCAUUACAGCCAUCCACCCGCAUCAAAAUUUGAUGGAAUAUAUUAACCUUGCUGCUAUGGAUCAUGAUGGCGUGGAUGAGAUACUUGACAAACAACUUGUAGGAAAAUGCAACCCUGAAGAAGCAGUAACUUUUCCAGAGCUUUGAGUCGAAUAGAGGAUCAACAAGUUGAAUUAAAUAGGAGAGCAGAGAACCAAGCACGUUAUUUUCAACAGGAUAAUUGAUGAUGAUUAUAUCAGUUUUAAAAUUCUUUGAAGUAAACCAUCAUCUGCCUUCCAUGCUGACAAAAAUCUACGUCUUUGGAGGAAAAUAGGAUUACGGAGAGGGCCACCGAGCAACGCAGGAAUGUAGUAAAAUGAAACACCAAAACCCCCCCCCCAAAAAAAAUUGUGUAAA